rnacentral:lncRNA from 1 species
UAUUUCCAAUUUUUAUUCUCUUCUUAGGAAAUACUGCAGUGGAUGUCUUUGUUUCCAUGUGCAACAUUUUCUAAAUCUUGGAUCAUUUCCUUGGGACAGAUCCUCAGAAAAAGAAUUAAUGGGUCAAAGGGUCUGAAUAUUUUUGAGUCUUUAGAUGUUGCCAAUUUACUUUCCACAAAGGUAGGUUGGCCAGUGCUGUGGCUUACGUCUGCAAUCCCAUGCAAUCCCAACACUUCGGGAGGCCAAGGCAGGCGGAUCACUUGAGCCCAGGAGUUCGAGACCAGGCUCGGCAACAUAAUGAAACCCUGUCUCUACAAAAAAUACAAAACCCAGCUGGGCGUGGUCAUGUGCACACCUGUGGUCCCUCUUUCUUUUUUUUUUUGUUGAGAUGGGAUUUCACUCCUGUUACCCAGGCUUGGCCGCAUUCAGUUUCUAUAGAGGAUUUUUGGGAUGGUUUUUGGUUGCAAGGAAUUGAUUAUUUGCUUUCUCUUUUUAAAAAGUUUUUCUUUCCCUUUCUACAAGAAGACUGCUUUUAAUUUAAUGUAUUUAAAUUUAUUUAUUGUUUUUGAGACGGGGUAUUGCUCUAUUGUCCAGGCUGGAGUGCACUGGUGUGAUCACAGCUCGCUGCAGCCUCAGUCUCCUGGGCUCAAGCAAUCCUCCCGCCUCAGCCUCCUGAGUAGCUGGGACUAUAGGUGCACACCACCACACCUAGCUAUUUUUAAUUUUUUUUUUUAAUUUUUCAUAGAUAUGAGGUCUCGUUAUGAUGCCCAGUCUGGUCUUGAACUCCUGACCUCGGCCUCCUAAAAUACUGGGCUUAUAGGCAUUAGCCACUGCGUCUGGCUCCAUGUUUUUAAUUUUAAUUGGUGAUCUUUAAUCUUUUUUAAAAUUUAUUUUAAUUUAUUAUUAUUUUUUUGAGACAGAGUCUCGCUCUUUCCCCCAGGCUGGAGUGCAGUGGCAUAAUCUCGGCUCACUGCAACCCCCGCCUUCCAGGUUCACGCCAUUCUCCUGCCUCAGCCUCCCGAGUAGCUGGGACUACAGGCGCCCACCACCACGCCCGGCCAAUUUUUUGCAUAUUUUAGUAGAGACAGGGUUUCACCAUAUU